GCCAAAUAUUUACCUUUUUGAGAUUCUGACAUGCGGUUCGGCCGGAUUUGCUUGUCCUACGCAUAUUGUAUGCUGCCCAGCACUGAAGCAUAUGCCUCAGGGGACCAAUAGAUGAGCUGACCAUGCGGAGGAGACGCAGGAAGUCCCCAGAUGGAGGAGCUGUCCACACCACUCCCCCACCCUUGGGGACCACCUUGUCUUGCCCUUCGGAACCGUCUCUCCCCCACCCUUGGGGACCACCUUGUCUUGCCCUUCGGAACCGUCUCUCCCCCACCCUUGGGGACCACCUUGUCUUGCCCUUCGGAACCGUCUCUCCCCCACCCUUGGGGACCACCUUGUCUUGCCCUUCGGAACCGUCUCUCCCCCACCCUUGGGGACCUCCGACAUUGCUCAGUGACGUGAAGAAGCUGAGACGUCAGAAAUGGAAAAUCUAAAGGAGGAACCAGGAUUCAUACCUGUGAUCCCCUCAUUCAGAGCCCACGACACUACCUCUGCGCCACCGUGAGGUACAGAGUGUGGGUGAGCAGCAGUGGACUGAGGAUGAGACUUCAGAAAUGUAAGUCAAAUAAAGACAAAUAAUGAGGUUUGAACCCUGUACCUUUGAGUCUCCAGGCAAGGACGUUACCUUUGUGCCAACUCCUCCUCAGCGCUCUGGGUUGCUCUGCAGUGGACUGAUGAAGAUGAGACCACAGGAACACAAGAGAAGUAAAGAGGAAGGGUGGGGUUUGAACCCACAAUCUCUCCGUCCAGAAGCAACGACCAUACCACUACACCAUGGCUGUCUUGGCUUUUUGUUUGAUGUAGUAGAUUCAAGAUGAUGAGCUAUUAGAAACACAAGAGAAGUAAAGGUUAGGGAUGGGGUUUGAACCAACCAUCUCUCGUUCUCGAGACAGCGACCAUACCACUACGCCACGGCUGUCUUGUUGUUUGGGCUGAUGUAGUAGACUGAAGAUGAUGAGUUUAUGGAAACGGAAGAGAAAGAAAGGGUGAGUGAGGUUCGAACCCCCGACCUUUUGGUCCAGAGACCAUGACUCUAACCACUGAGCCACAGCAACCCUGCUAAGACGGCAGCUUUAACGCCUUCAUAAGCAAUCCAACACCAUGAUACUGUUAUGGUACACUGGCAAUUAAUUUUCUUUCAUUUAUUCUCCUUAAUUUUUUUCAAGUCAGCAUCCUAAUUAUACAGCAAUACUCACACGGAAACACUUCAGGUUAUGGACUGAAGAAUUACAUUGUAAUAACUUUACACAAGUACAGCUGGGAUUUGAACCUUCCACCUCCUGAUUACAAGUCCGCUCUCUUAACCACUACGCUACAACACACAACAGACUUAUACCUUUGAUAAUGAGGCUAUAUACACUGCUGCUCCAUUGGUUUUAAUGGAUCACCUGACAGUGAUGAAGUACUUCACUGCUGCUACUGUAGCCAUAAUGGUUAUAAUGGUUAUAAGAGUGAUGCAGUACUACACUGCUGCUACAGAGGGCUUAAUGCUUAUGAGAGUGAUGCAGUACUACACUGCUGCUACAGAGGGCUUAAUGCUUAUGAGAGUGAUGCAGUGCUACACUGCUGCUACAGAGGGCUUAAUGCUUAUGAGAUAAUGCAGUACUACACUGCUGCUACAGAGGGCUUAAUGGUUAUAAGAGUGAUGCAGUACUACACUGCUGCUACAGAGGGCUUAAUGCUUAUGAGAUAAUGCAGUACUACACUGCUGCUACAGAGGGCUUAAUGCUUGUGAGGGUGAUGGAGUACUACACUGCUGCUACAGUGGGCUUAAUGCUUAUGAGAGUGAUGCAGUACUACACUGCUGCUACAGAGGGCUUAAUGGUUAUAAGAGUGAUGCAGUACUACACUGCUGCUACAGAGGGCUUAAUGCUUAUGAGAUAAUGCAGUACUACACUGCUGCUACAGAGGGCUUAAUGGUUAUAAGAGUGAUGCAGUACUACACUGCUGCUACAGAGGGCUUAAUGCUUAUGAGAUAAUGCAGUACUACACUGCUGCUACAGAGGGCUUAAUGCUUAUGAGGGUGAUGCAGUACUACACUGCUGCUACAGAGGGCUUAAUGCUUAUGAGAUAAUGCAGUACUACACUGCUGCUACAGAGGGCUUAAUGCUUAUGAGGGUGAUGCAGUACUACACUGCUGCUACAGUGGGCUUAAUGCUUAUGGGGGUGAUGCAGUACUACACUGCUGCUACAGAGGGCUUAAUGCUUAUGAGAUAAUGCAGUACUACACUGCUGCUACAGAGGGCUUAAUGCUUAUGAGGGUGAUGCAGUACUACACUGCUGCUACAGAGGGCUUAAUGCUUAUGAGGGUGAUGCAGUACUACACUGCUGCUACAGUGGGCUUAAUGCUUAUGAGAGAGAUGCAGUGCUACACUGCUGCUACAGUGGGCUUAAUGCUUAUGAGAGAGAUGCAGUACUACACUGCUGCUACAGAGGGCUUAAUGCUUAUGAGAGAGAUGCAGUACUACACUGCUGCUACAGAGGGCUUAAUGCUUAUGAGAGAGAUGCAGUACUACACUGCUGCUACAGAGGGCUUAAUGCUUAUGAGAGUGAUGCAGUACUACACUGCUGCUACAGAGGGCUUAAUGCUUAUGAGGGUGAUGCAGUACUACACUGCUGCUACAGAGGGCUUAAUGCUUUUGAUCCGUAUGCGCUUAAUUAUUAUUAAAACCUUUUAUGAAUGUAAAAAGCAAUAUAUAAACCCAAAAUAUAGAACAUGUGUAACUUUUGAUAGCUGCUUCAUUUAAGGAAUCCUUUGCUUUUGAGAUCUGAACAAUAUGUGGUUCAAAGUCCCAACUAAUCAGAUGAUCUAAUUUAUGGGACAUAGGUGAAACAAGAACAGCAACACGUGUACUUUAAGGUGAUUGGUUGGUUAAAAUUGUAUGCCUUUGAAUGAUAUCUUCCUUCACAAUGAUCGAAGAUGAGACAUACAGACAUACACUCGCAAAGCAUCGCAGGUGUGUGUUUGGGUCCCAGGGUUUGUAAAGGUAUAUUAUUUUUUGUUUGUGUAUUUUAUUCUGCUGCUAAUUUUCUGCUGACAUUAAAGUUGAAUUGUGUUCAGUGCUCAAUAAAACGAAUAUACAUACAACAA